rnacentral:misc_RNA from 1 species
CACGCACUGAACUCUUUAGUGUUUCCUUGUGGGGUGCUUCACCUUUCUGCAGGCUGUUGACCUCGCGCUGAUAACAACUCGCUCGCUUUCUCUGUUGCUCUCACUCCGACGCACGCCUCUGACCGUGCUCUCCACACGGCAACAUAUAUUUACGAAGAGAAGCACACAAACAACUGCCACUAGCCCCCCUCCCUCCCUCCCACCUCACCUCCGAAUCGAUAGCGAUGCUCGCUGCGAGUCGCCUUGCCCGCGGCGUUGCCGAGACGGUCACGCGCGAGAGCUUCACCAUAUCCCGUCUUACGAACGGCCUGCGCGUCAUCACAUGCGAAGACGGCAACGGCAUCACCGGCAUGGGGCUUUUCUCCUUGAACGGCCCCAAGUUCGAGGAGGCGGGGAGCUUUGGCGCUGCGGCGGUGAUGGAGUCACUUCCGCUGCGCAGCAACGCGCGCAUGACGACCGAGACGAUUAGCCAGUCGCUCGGUGUCUUCGGCAACGCGUACAAGGUGACCAACAACCGCGAGGCCAUGUCCGUCAUGCUCAUGAUGCCGCGCUACCACCAGAAGGAAGGGCUCGAUGUACUGAACGGGAUGUGGCUGCACCCAACCGAGAACGACGAGGAGUUCGCCGUGGCGAAGGCGCAGACCCUGCACCGCAGCUCUCUCAUGAGUCGAGACGCGACGAGCAUGCUGUUCGAGCUUGUCCACAAGGCCGGCUGGAGCGGUCGUGGGCUCGGCAACCCGCUCUCCCCGACGGAGCAGCAGCUGGAACAGCUGACACUGGAGAGGUUCCACGCCUUCCACCGCCGCUACACCACGCCGGAGCGGACGGUGCUGGCGGCGACGGGUGUGGCGGAUCACAAGGCGUUUGUACAGGAAGCGGAGGUGCGGCUGCAGUUCCCUCAAUCGACGGCGCCAUCCCUCCUUUCGUCUAGCGCAGAGACGGCGAACAAGGCAGCUGCUGCGACAGCUCAGCUUCACCCGUACACGGGCGGCUGCGAGUACGUGCAGAACACGACGGCGCCGGAGUCCAUGAACAAGUUUCAGGAAAAGAACCUUAGCCACAUGGCCCUCUUCUUCCAGGCCAUCCCAAUGGCCCACCCCGACUAUUUCACCUUCUCGGUCAUUCAAACACUGCUGGGCGGCGGCACCUCGUUCAGCUCUGGCGGCCCUGGCAAGGGCAUGCAAACCAAGCUGUUUCGUGAGGUGCUGAACCGGGAGCCGAACCUGCACGGCAUGGAGUGCAUUACGGCGUGGUACAGCGAUGGUGGCUUGAUCGGCCUCUACGGCUCUGCGCCACACGAGCACGUGAGCAACCUCUUAAAGAUCAUGAUUUUCCAGGCGGCGUCGAUUAGCCAGCGCAUCACCCCGGUGCACCUGGAGAUGGCCAAAAACCAGCUAAGCUCGCAGCUCAUCCUGUUGGGGGAGGGGCGUGAACAGUUGCUGAACGACAUGGGCUUCAACCUUCUCGUGCACAACUACACAAUUACGCCGCAGGAGACUAUUCAGGGCAGCGCUCAGGUGACAAUGGCACGUCUCCACGAGGUGAGUGCGCAGCUGGUUGAGCACCCGGUGACGUUUGCCGUGUACGGGGAGACGAAGGGGAUGCCGGAGUACCAUCAGCUAGUCCAGGCUCUGAAGAAGUCGUAUGCGUCCCUGAACAAGAGCACACCGGCGUGAGAACGGAGCGAAAAAAAAAACAACAAAAAAUAAAGAAAAGCAACGGAGAGAUAGGGCAUGUGAUGCUGGUAGCUCACUCGGGGAGGGGGGGAACGAGAGGGUGUUUGACCACGUCGCGCUCUCCGUGACUUUCUUCUUGCCUAUGCCUCUUCGCUCAUGUGCAGCUGUGAAGUGUGCGUUUGUGUGUGUGUGCAUAUGCGCCCCUUGAUUCGCCCUUUUCUAUUCUUUUCGCUUGUUUCCAUCAUCUUCACAGAGAGCAGCUGAAGAAUGUGAUAGCGAGCCGGCAUGUGGAGUCACCCCCCCCUUUUCACCCACUACCUCCUCCGUGCUGUUCGCUGGACACGCAUGCACGCAGCUCCUGCAUGGGGUUUCAGAUUCUUUGUGCGCCCAUCCUUUGGUACGUGCUUGUGCGUGUCGUAUAUGGUGUUUGUGUUUGGUGCGUAUACGUUGGCAGUUGCGGUUAAGCACAAGUUAAUGCGCGAGGUAGCAAGUAUAAUAAUGCGCGGGAGCCCAACC